rnacentral:lncRNA from 10 species
GGAUGUGGUGGGAAACGAAGGUCCGAUAGGGGUGCAUAUUACCACAGGUUGGCUCACGACCCUUCUGCUCACAGCCGGGAGCCAAGUAGGAUGGCGCGACCUUCCGAUGUCCUAACAACCUCAGGGGGUGGGGCCUAACAUCUCUCCAGCAUUCAGGAGACCACAGAUUAGGUGAGGUGUGCUUGCUGGGGGAAGAUUGUGGGAGAGAAACAACAGCUCACGCCACCCAAGGAUCUGUGUCUUUAUCCAGGAUGCAUUUUCAACUGACCGGUUAGGAAAAAAACAGUGGGAUCCAGUAGCAGGGUCCUCCCAUUGGGUUCCUCCCCCCUGAGGGUCCUCCUGGUAACUUCACUCUCCUGGUUCCAGAGAAAGGAGCCCUGUGGGGGGAAUUAGCCUGCUGCCCUCACCCUUGCUUCCUCCAGUUCUCACUCUUGGCUCCUGGAAGGGGCUAAGUGUCUAUGGUUGGGUCCCAAUGCCAAUGUGAACUGGGCAAACUGGGAAGCCUACAUUUUAGAGAUGGACAAAUUAUACCUGCAGUUUCUUUAAGCGACAAAAACAACAGUAGCAUUUUUUUAAGCCCCCUAAAGUGCUGAACUAAGAUGACUUGGGACCACAGAGCAGUAGUCUCUAGUGUUUGGGCAGUUUGAUGUGACUGAGCCACACAUACAGAUCCAGGUCACAUGUGUUCUCUUAAGCCUAUCUUUCCAGGCCUCAGUUUUUACAGAUGUUAAGGGAGAGGUUUGCACUCCUGAACUCCUCCUCCUCGCUCUCACUGCCUUUAAAGAGGUCUGGGUGGUGCUUUGAGUCCUAGGAACAAUCCUUUCCCAAGCCCCCCAGCAAUGCAGGCUGCCCCUACUAUUUUCGGCCCACAGGUCAAUGCACUUUGGGUAACUGUACAGCCCCUCUGCCCCUACUACUCUGGCUGCCCAAUGCCACUGACCUGGGGCUGCAGCUCUAGAGUGAUGAACCACAGUUCUUAGAGGACAGAAAACCUCAGCAGAGGGACCUCUGUUUCUGGAGAAUGGAACAGUUUAAGUUGGAGGAAGGGUCUUUGUUUCUGAGGUUGCACAUUGUGGCCAAGUUUUCCAAAUAUGCUUUGAGAUCAAAGGGGAGUAAAGAGCUGCAGUGAUCCUAGCGCCAAUCCCUCAGACUUCCCCCUAGCAUGGGGGGCAGACAGAUUUUUAUUCCCUUUACUCUGUUCUAAGAGGUUUGGGUAGUAAGACUUAGAAAAGAUGCACCAGCUCCCAAGCAGACCAGCUCUGAGGGGGAAUCAGAGCAAGGCAGACGGUUCUCUCUCACAUAUUCUUCCAUUUCAUUCCAGGAUGAUGUCCCUGGCCAAGCCCUAUCCUGGCUCUCCUGUUCUGGUAAUGUCCUGAGCCUCCCAUCCUCACCACCACCCGAAACGGGGACACUUCAGAGCCAAAGAGGAAACGAAUCCCAUCUGUUCUGAGCCCCCAAGCACAGUUCAAGAGGACAGGCUGGGGAGUGGAGGAAGGGGCGGUGAAGAGAAAAAUAAGAAGACUGGAACAUCCAGCCACACACGGAGGGCAGGAAGCCACCUGAUGAGAGAGCCAGGGUGUGGCAGAAGUCGCCAAGGAAUCCUUCUGUUCCCGACACACGCCUACAGCACUCGCUCAAGAUGGAGCCUGCUGACUCUGUCUAAGGCCCUGUGGCCCUUGGCAUAGGUUUCAGGACAGCAGUCCUGUCAGGGCUGUGGACCUCACACCUCUAUGUAAUGUGAAGGGCACCCUCUGGAGUUGUGGGACUUGGCAGUAGUGUUACUGCACUGGCCUGCAAGUCCCCAUCCAUUACUGCCACCCAGCUCAGACACAGCUCACCCAUUCACAUACACAAAAAUGGACACAUUGAGAGGGAAACCCACAUUAAAGUAGGGAGAAGAUGGAGGGCCCUCUGACCUCCUCCCAUCAGGCACGUGUGCCUCCUCUACUCAGUGCCUGCAUCCACCUCUGUAUGGGUACCCAUCCUCUAUUCCCCUCCCACUCCAAUGGAUGCCAGGGAUGGAAGGACAGAUGGCUGUGAAACUUAUCUUCUUAUUUAGAUUAAAUUCCAGACUUUCCUAUUUUUAGAAAAACAAAUUCCUUUUGUAUUUCCAAGUGGUAAAAAUGGCCCGAGCUGUCAUCUAGGACAGUCAGCAGCCAACUCAAAGUUGUCUGCAGUGUCAUGAUUUGGAUAUUACCCUGGCGAGACUACUUCUAGUGUCAAGCGGGUGAUCAGUCUAGGUGCCAAAUUUUAAGAGGGUCAUUGACGUCCUGAGAGCUUCCAGAGGAGGGUGACCAGGACAAUGAAAGGUUCGAAAAACUGGGUCAUUGAAAAAAGUACUGAAAUAAGCUAGGGACUUUUUCUUUUUCUUUUUGGUCUAGAGAAUAUUUGAGCUAUAUUAAGAACAUGUUGAAAUAUUUGGAUGAAGAGUUACACCCUUAUUCUAUUUUUCCCAGAUGACAGAAUUUGAAUCAAUAGGUAGAAGUUACAGCGAAACAGAUUUCAGUUGAAUAUUUAGAAACUUUCUUAUAACUUAAUUCUGUAUGAUAUGGAAUAAGCUUCCCAUCACUGUGCCUAUGCAAGCCAAGGAUGAAAGACUGUCUGUCAGGGAUACUGUAGAUAAGAUUAUUGUACUAGAUAGGAACAUGGACUAGUCUAAAAUUACUGAGAAGCUUUAGAAAAAUGUGGCUUUCUGGGUAGCAGAGAUUCUGCAUUGGUAAGUCUGAGGCUUAGAAUUUGUAUUUCCAAAAAACCCCAUCAGCUAUAAAACUCUCAGAAGAAAACGUAGGGGAAAAGCUGCAUGGCGUUAGAUUUUGCAGUGAUUUCUUAGAUAUGACACUCAAAGCAUAGCCAACAAAAGAAAAAAACAGAUAAAAUGGAUUUCAUCUAAAUAAAAAGCUUUUGUGCAUCAAAGGAUACAUCUACAGAAUGAAAAGGAAACCCAAUACACAGAAUGAAAGAAAAUAUCUCCAAAUCAUACAUGUGAUAAAAGGUUCAUAUCUAGCAUAUAUAAAGAACUCUUAACACUCAAAAAGAAAUUAAACAACACAAUUUAAAAAUGGGCAAAGGACUUGAAUAGAUAUCUCUCCAAAGAAGAUGUACAAAUAGCUAAUAAGUACAUAAAGCUGCUCCAUAUUACUAAUCACUACAGAAAUCAAAACCACAAUGAGAUAACCACUUCGCCUCCAUCAGGAUGGGUUUUUUCUUUUUUUGAGUUGGAGUCUCGCUCUGUCGCCCAGGCUGGAGUGCAGUGGUGCAAUCUCGACUCUCUGCAACCUCCGCCUCCUGGGUUAAAGCAAUUCUCCUGUGUCAGCCUCCCGAAUAGCUGGUAUUACAGGCACGCACCACCACGCCAGCUAGUUUUUGUAGUUUUGGUAGAGAUGGGGUUUCACCCCACACCAGUUGGCCGGACUGGUCUCCAACUCCUGACCUCAAGUGAUCUACCCAACCCAGCCUCCCAAAGUGCUGGGAUUACAGGUGUGAGCCACCGCGCCUGGCCAGGAUGGCUACUAUAAAUACAAACAAAACAGAAAAUAGUAAAUGUUGGGGAGAAUUCGGAGAAAUUAGAACCCUCAUUCAUUGCUGGUAGAAAUAUCAAAUGGUGCAGCCAUUGUGGAAAACGGUAUGGUGGUUCCUCAAAACAAACAAACAAACAAACAAACAAAAAACACAUAGAAUUACCAUAUGAUACAGCAAUUCCAUUUCCAGGUAUAUACCCAAAAAGAACCGAAAGCAGGGACUUGAAUAAUAUUUGGACACUAAUUUUCAGAGCAACAUUCUUCACAAUAGCCAAAAGGUGGUAACAACCCAUGAACAGAUGAAUGGGUAAACAAAAUGUGGCGUAUACCUACAACAGAAUAGAGUUCAACCUGAAAAAAGAAUGAAAUUCUAACGCUACAACAUAAAUGCUCCCUGAUGACAUUAUGCUAAGUAAAUAAGCCAGUCAUUAAACAACAACAACAACAAAGACUGUAUGAUUCCACUUAUAUGGGUUACCUAGAGUAGUCAAAUUCAUAGAGACGAAAAGUAGAAUGGUGGCUCCCAGGAGCUGAAGGGAGGAGGAAAGGGUAGCUACUGUUUAAUGGGUACAGUUUCUCUUUGGGGAGAAGACAGAAUUCUGGAGAUGGACGUGAUGAUGGUUACACAGCAGUGUGAAUGUACUGAAUGCCACUAAACUGUACACUUUAAAAUGGUUAACAUAAAAUGGUAAAUUUUAUGUUAUAUAUAUAUAACCACAAUUUUUAAAAAUAAAUCCUUUUUAAAAAACAUGUAUGAUUAUUCUGGUAGCAGCAUCAGAGUCACUUUCUUCCUUCUAGUUUGCUGACUUCAGUUUGAAGAAUUUGCCUUCUUUGGUUUGCUGACUAAUGACCUGAAAGGGGCCUGGUCACUGGAGGGAGUAGGGAGAGCUGACUUGAGACUGAACAGGGGCUUGGGAAGAGCCGUCAAAGGGAUGAUCCCCCCGCAGAUAAACAGAGUGUGGAGAAAGCGCCAGAAUUACUGUCAUCUUUUAUGGCUCACUCGGAUAGCUUGGAGCCGAUUAUGUCACCCAGUGGGGAAAGAUCAGCUUUUCUGCUGGCCCAGUGCUGGGAGCUCUUGG